CGGUAAAGGUGAAACGGCGGGGUAAGAGCCCACCGGCGCGCUUGGUAACUUGCGUGGCCAUAUAAACCCAACUUGCAGUAAGAAGGGAUGGUUUUGGUCUUAUAUUAAAACCCUUCGCUAGAGCUUGUUUGUAAAAGCAAGCGUAGAUAAAUGAUCGCUCAAGACAGAACUCGGCUUAACGCCGUGCCUCCCUU
rnacentral:RNase_P_RNA from 1 species